AACAAACAGGUAAAUCGAACAUUUAAAUGAAAGUACACCGAAUGCCACUCUGCGUUGGCAUAAUUACAAAAGACAGGGUGGCAAAAAGAAUACAAUGAACUCUGCAUUCUUAGAUUUAGUAUAGUUUAAAAUUAUGUGCUUUCAAUUAUAAUUCAUCAAAAGGACAUCCAACGACAUUAGGCUACUGUAGCACUACAAUACUACAAAUAUAAUUUCCUGCAUGACAGCAAUAAUUUCCGGCUGGCUAAUUAUGUCUCACUAGUAUGUGACACUGAAUGGCACAUGCAGGUUCAGUGCAUCUAAGAGUAUUUCAGAGACUGGUCAACAAAAUAGCAGGAAUAACUUGUUAAACAAUACAGCAGCACCACAUGCCAACACACAGGUGGGCAACCAGCUGAAAUCUUAGCUUAGCAUAUGGGCAUCCUACCUGGACAACCUCGUGACUCAAAGAGCCUUGACUAAUUUUUACAUAUAUAAUUUUAUCUUUAGUGGAAUAGUGCUGCAAUUAUAUGCUUCUGCAUGCUUUAAGUAACCUUUGUGCGCUUUAUGCCUUUGUCUUACCACAGCACAAUUGACAAUUCACACUCGGUGUAACUUUUAGGCUGAACAGUUCUUAUAAGUGUUGACCUUCUCACCAUCUAUACUGUAUUCCUAGACAAACUGUUUCCUCUAGAUAGCUAGAACCGUAGAAGAAAAUAUUUAGCGCUUUGUUGAGUUUUCGCUAACAGUAUUUUAUUAAUAUUGGUUGAAUCUGCAUGCCAGUUAACGUCAUAUCAAGUUCAGGAAUGAAUUAUCAAGUGGACAAACAGAGGGUACUGCUAGUGAAUUCUUCGGAACACAAAAAUGUGAUGAUCAGUGUCAUUUCAAACCUACAGAGCUGACUGCAUGAAGAACCUUGUGUGGAUGCAACAUACAGAGGGAGUUCAACAAAACAAAGAGAUCGUGGAACCAGAAGAGUACGACGCAAUGAUGGUUUCUCUUGCAAACUAGCCAAAGUCUACUGAACUGUUACAAAUAUGCUCCUCACUGUGCAGCUGAUUCUGCAACACUGAAGGCUUUUUGUGUUGCUUUACAUCUUCACAGAGUAUGUAUGCAUGCAUGGAAGCAGAAGGAAGCAAGUGCUGCAAAAAAACCUCAAGAGACUAAAAGGAGCCAUUGCUUACCUCCCCAUCUGCCGCUUCUCGCGCUUCGUCUUCCGUCGCCAUUGCUCCAGAUCAGGAUGGGAAGAAGGAAAGAAAGAGAAAAAAAAGAAAGAAAGGAAGAAACAAAGAAAGAAUGGGAGGGAGAGAGGGGGAGACAGAGGCCUCUUAACAUAAAAGUCUUGUGGGUGCUUGAAAAGCUGGUGGUCUUUAUACCGACCUUUCCUCUGUCAGACGUAUUUUCUAUUGCCGAGCAGCGGUUAGGAAAGCAGCGACACACUGACAGUGCUCUUGACAGUGAGUUGGUACUCGCUUAAUCAGCCACAAGCCUUGAUUAAGUGGGAGAGUUUAUCCCUGAAAUGGCAGAUCAGUGAACAUGGAGGCUCAGCAUUAGGUGCCAAAAUGCCAACUGGUGCUUGAGGCACAUGGUACUGGUAGCUGGACCAGUGCGUUUACAGUCUUGCAUCUCCGGGACCCACAGAACCUUUUCCCUGAGGAAUUAUUGGGUCCAUAAUUGAUCGAAGAUUAUCUCGUUCUUGGAUCCUAUCUCUCGUUCUUUUUUUGCUCGUAGAGUGCGGCUCGAAUAAGAGUAUCGUUUUCGGUGUAAGAAUACUAUCAUCUGCCUCUUUUCUGGUUGCUUGGUAUCACAUAAACAUUAGUACUACAUGAUUGCCUUUGUGAUGUCCCUUCAGGUGCAAAUUAUCUUCCUACCGGUUAGGCGGGCAUUGGAUCAUUUGUCACAUUCAGCUUUGGAUGCAAAUGGCUAAAGGCGGCCCCGAAAGGUUGUGUCCAGCUUACCUCACGAUGCACUGGGAAUUCAAGCCGACGCUGGAUUUGCCCAAUUUUUCCCGCAGGCCAUCGAAAGCUCCGCUGAAUCGGAUCGUGCGGGGAGCGGGACAGGAUGGAAGUAACUUCACCCAAGGAACAAUUGCAUGCUGUAUUUCCAGACUGCAGGAACCACGAGGGGGGCCAAGGGGCAAAGGAGGGAGGAACGGGAGGUGCAUCCACAGCCCUGAAUAUUAUUGAAUCCGGUCAAGUGGCUGCUGAUGACAGCGAUCAACAGGCCACAUUGAAAGAAUUCCACAUGAUCGGCUGCUUUGGAGGAGGAGAAGGCCAAGUCGGCCAGUCCAACGGCGCCAUGCUGGACCCCGUGCCACGCCAUCCAAAUUCCUCUUGCAGAAAAGAAACGCACCGACCUGGCCGCCCACAUCCGACCCGUCAUCCUCCACGGCGCCUCAAGAAAUUAUAACCAAGCUGUUCUUAUAAAACCCGAGGCAGGUGAUGUUCAUGGAAUUCACGGAUUAUCCUGACGAACCGCGGCGCCGAAAGAAAGAAAGAAAGAAAGGGGAGAAAUCGAUGGGUUUGGUUGGAGGCGAAUGGUGAUGACAUGGAUGUGUGAAGAGAAGCUUAUCAUCAGAGCCCCUAGCCGCCCCGGUGCCCCAGUGCCCGAGUGGCUCCAUCAGAUCCGAGUCAGCAUCGUACGUAGAUGCCUAAAACUCUGGAGAUAAAAGAAGAUGAGAGGUUGAUGUUUUGUUUGCUGGCACUGUUGGCUUUUGCCCCCCUGGAAUAUAAGCGGCCGUCACUCGCAUCGCAUCACAUGGUCCUCCAUGCUAUCCUGCUCCACUUGCUAAUUAGCAGCCGCCAAAGUGUUACCCCUACAGUUUUAGUUAACACUGCUGGAUUAACAAGUUAGCUAAUCUCCGCAUACGAUGAUUCUCCAGACAUCAUCACCUGGAAUGAAAAAUAACAGUACAAGUAAUAACAAUAACAACAACAAUAAUGGAAGGUCGAAUCGGAGACGGGAGGAGGGACUCGUCUGGACGAAAGGAACAGGAGAAGCCAGAGUAUUAUUUUAGAUUUCGCAAAAAAAAAGAGUAUUAUUUUAGCCUGUGAUGAUGGGAGAAGAGGAGUUGGCGAUCUUGGCAUGCACCGGCCGCGCAGAAAGGCGUCUUGGCAUGUUGUGCCGCCAAAGCCCUGGCCACCUACGGAAGUGAUGGGGCAUCGUCACGUCUUGUCAUCCGCGAGUGUGAACCGUCAGUUCGUCCCGGCGAUCUGAG